CACAAAUCAGAUUUAGAAANUGAACUGUUUCAAAGUUGGAAGGCAAGUGCAGAAUUUUCCUCUCGGCCAAGACUACUUAGCUUUGGGUGCAACCUCACAAACUCAAUUUCUGAACUGUUUCAGGUUAUUUUCACUCCACUAGCAAGUUUCUUUUGGAUGAUAUACACUCAAUCUCACCAACACUCAACUCUUUGGCUUGUAUCUCAAUAUUUGGGUGGUGAAGUUGCCAAAAAUUCAGUGUUUUAUGCUGCUGAAAAGUGAAAAUUAUGCUUGCUGGACAACACACUUGAAUUCUAAAAUUCAGGUUCCUCUCCACUUCCUAAGAUGCUACCUUGGUAGGGAAAGGGUUCUGCAACUUGAAUGCACCAAUUAGACUUCACAAAACCAUUGAAAUCAUCCAAAACAGUCACCAAACAGAUUAGAAAUCUACACUGGUUUCAACACCAAAAUUUGACUUGAAUUGGACAAUUUAAGAGGCCAAAAAGCUUAAAAGCAAUAAAAUAGGUUUAUAACAG
rnacentral:lncRNA from 1 species